rnacentral:rRNA from 1 species
CGGAGGGAGCUAGCGUUGUUCGGAAUUACUGGGCGUAAAGCGCACGUAGGCGGUCCGAUAAGUCGGGUGUGAAAGCCCUGGGCUCAACCCAGGAAGUGCACUCGAAACUGCCGGGCUAGAGUAUCGGAGAGGUUGGUGGAAUUCUCGGUGUAGAGGUGAAAUUCGUAGAUAUCGAGAGGAACACCGGUGGCGAAGGCGGCCAACUGGACGAAUACUGACGCUGAGACUCGAAAGCGUGGGGAGCAAACAGGAUUAGAUACCCUGGUAGUCCACGCCGUAAACGAUGGGUGCUAGGUGUCGCGGGCUUUGACUCCCGCGGUGCCGUAGCUAACGCAUUAAGCACCCCGCCUGGGAAGUACGGCCGCAAGGCUA